UAUGUCGCAGGACGAGCUGGUUUGGAUGUCCAGGACCGAUGUUUGUUUAAAAAGGAGGAUGCCUCCCACAAGGUGAUGCUCCCCUGAAGGAUGUAGCAGCGUGCCACGCUGGGGAGGCAGACAGACAGACAGACGAGCGGGGCUGAGUUCUCUGUCGUCUGCUGUUUAAUGAAAGGAAUGGUACGAGGUGUCAACGUGUUUCAGAGAUACAGUCUGGACUUCUCUGGCACCUGUGUGUCACGUCAUAUGUCUUAGACUCUUGAAUGCCUGCUCAUCUAAAAUCUGGAUGUAUUUUUGGCUAUAUGGAAAGACAAUGCAGCCUGGGGAGCUGGAAAAGUCUGUGCAAAAGUACUUGAAGCACAAUUAGCUGGCAUUUACAAAGCAGUCAGUGAAGAAGCGCCAUUUCUUUUCCUUGGCGCUGAUUGGCUGCACCCAAGAGUGAAGAUCUGAGUGGACUGACGGCCCUGUGGGGGCACCUGGCUCUCCUCCCUGCCAUCACUGGCUAAAUCGAUCGUUGAGGCCAUCUCAGCGAACGGACCAGGGGUCAGCUUCAAAGGCCUCCUGCCCACUUUCUGCCACCUGGUGUUCCAUAUAGGGCGAUGGGUACAUUUUCUUUCCAGCCCCCAUCCUCCCGUUACCCUUCUCCGAACAGGUUAAGGACAUGGAGCCAGUACAGCUCCUCCCUGUGAUCUCCUGCUGCCUCCUCCCAAGCCACCCACAUGCAGAGAGAGGCCCAGCCAUCAACCAACCCCCCUGCUUCCAAUACGUUAGCGGAUAUCAGUAUGUCCACUACUCUUGUGAACAGGGAUGAGAAGGAGAAAAAGAGGGAGAGGAAAUAAAGGUCUGAGGAGUUUGGCAAAGAGACGAUGGAGGCUGAGACAGAUGGCAUGAAGUCUGCAGCACUCUGGCGUGGCUCGCCUGGUGCUAAAAUCCUCCUCUCUCACAUUCCAAUAAAUCCUACCAGGAGGCUGGGGAGUCUGUCACACUACUCCAAGGAUCCACACGGCUCUCCUCCCUCCCUCCCCCAUACAUCAGUGCCCCCCCUCCUCAUCAGUGUCUGAGUCUCUGACCACUCCAGUAUCUGAUUUCUGCUUUUAUUGAACCCACAGAACUGUCUGCAUUCACUUAUAGAAAUGCAUAGAUGUGGAUCUACUGCUAAGAUCAGCAGCAGCAGAUGAAAAAAAAAAAGUCUUUAUGGUCGCUCUUAUUGAAAACCUUUGAGCGAUGGCCUUUAUUGUCAUUCCAGAGUACAAAUCAUAUUCUGGCCCAAAACAUGAGAGAAACACUGUACAAUCCAUUUACAUUAGAGGAAGAAGACAUAAGAAGCUUUUUGAUUAGUCUCACCAGAGCCUGCAAUCAGCCCAAAGUCUUGAGCAGACACAGUCUAACCAAAUAUCAGCCUAAACAUGCGGCUUUCAGUUCAAGGCUUCCUGUGGGUCUUUAAAUCCAAAGUGGACAAUAAGUGAGGCUGUGAUUACACACUUAGCCCGAAGCCCAAAACUUGAUCCCAGACUCCUCAGCAACUUCACAUCCAUAUUCUGAACUGCUGGAUCUCCUUUGAGUUUGCUCUCUUUUUUGCCGACUCAAAGUGGAUCAUCUCCUAAGAACAAUCUAAUUUAUUUUACGCUCUCUCUUUCUCUCUCUCCCUGUUUCUUUCUGCCGUCUGUUCUAAUGAAUGACUUCGGAGAUAAAGAGCUGCUGUGAUGGGGUCACAGAGGGCUGCAGAAUCACAUUACUGUUAAUGAUAAUAAA